AGCAGUACCACGGGAAUACGAAGGGUGCAAGCGUUAAUCGGAAUUACUGGGCGUAAAGCGUGCGUAGGCGGUGAGUUAAGUCUGCUGUGAAAUCCCCGGGCUCAACCUGGGAAUGGCAGUGGAUACUGGCUCGCUAGAGUGUGUCAGAGGAUGGUGGAAUUCCCGGUGUAGCGGUGAAAUGCGUAGAGAUCGGGAGGAACAUCAGUGGCGAAGGCGGCCAUCUGGGACAACACUGACGCUGAAGCACGAAAGCGUGGGGAGCAAACAGGAUUAGAUACCCCCGUAGUCCCUGUCUCUUAUACA
rnacentral:rRNA from 1 species